CAGCCGCCACGGGAAUACGUAGGUGGCAAGCGUUGUCCGGAAUUAUUGGGCGUAAAGGGCUCGCAGGCGGUUUCUUAAGUCUGAUGUGAAAGCCCCCGGCUCAACCGGGGAGGGUUAUUGGAAACUGGGAAACUUGAGUGCAGAAGAGGAGAGUGGAAUUCCACGUGUAGCGGUGAAAUGCGUAGAGAUGUGGAGGAACACCAGUGGCGAAGGCGACUCUCUGGUCUGUAACUGACGCUGAGGAGCGAAAGCGUGGGGAGCGAACAGGAUUAGAUACCCGCGUAGUCCCUGUCUCUUAUAC
rnacentral:rRNA from 1 species